GUAGCCCGCCAGAGAAGUAAGAUGUCCGGACCCUCUCUCCGGUUCCUUCUCAGUCAGCACCCCUGCCCUACCUUGUCUGCUAUUAGACCUCAGCCAGCAGCACUGUGGGCCAGAAGAACUCAAGUCUGUGAUGAACCCCUGAUGCGGAGACCAGUUGUGUGGAUACAGAAGCGUACAGGUGUGUAGGGAAGACAGGACUCCCAUCCACAGCUUUGGAGCAUGGCCCACCCUAUUGCCUCACCAUGGAGAGACCAACUGAAGAGGGGUUGGAUGAGAGGCAGUCUCAGCUUUGAUGAGUGUACCUCCACAAAACACAGACAACCAGGGGCGGCAGAGAAGUAUUCCAACUUUCCCACUUAACUGCAAGAAACUCCCGGGAAAGCUGCACCCAGUUUCUGGGCAGCAUUUUCCCUGGAAAACUACUAGGAAAGUGGGUAAUUUAAAUGUCUUCUCUUUGUUUGA